rfam:Schistosoma curassoni strain Dakar, Senegal genome assembly, scaffold: SCTD_contig0012577
ACUGGCUGACGAGUCCCAAACAUGACGAAACUUAGGUCCCGGAU